rnacentral:rRNA from 1 species
UAGAGUUUGAUCAUGGCUCAGGAUGAACGCUGGCGGCGUGCCUAAUACAUGCAAGUCGAACGAAGAUCUAGCUUGCUAGAUCUUAGUGGCGAACGGGUGAGUAAUACAUAAAUAAUCUGCCCAUUGGACUGGGAUAACUAUUGGAAACGAUAGCUAAUACCGGAUAGGUGAUUUGAAGGCAUCUUCGAAUCAUUAAAGUAGGGUCACUACACCAAUGGAUGAGUUUAUGGCGCAUUAGUUAGUUGGCGGGGUAACGGCCCACCAAGACGAUGAUGCGUAGCCGACCUGAGAGGGUGACCGGCCACACUGGGACUGAGACACGGCCCAGACUCCCUACGGGAGGCAGCAGUUAGGGAAUUUUCGGCAAUG